AUGAACGCUGGCGGCGUGCUUAACACAUGCAAGUCGAACGGGAUCCAAGGGGUGCUUGCACUUUUUGGUGAGAGUGGCGAACGGGUGAGUAACACGUGAGUAACCUGUCCUUUUCUUUGGGAUAAGCAUUCGAAAGGGUGUUUAAUACCUUAUGUUCUGUCUGCCUCGCAUGGGGUGGGUGGGAAAGGCUUUGGCCGGAUUUGGGUGGGCUCGCGGUCUAUCAGCUUGUUGGUGGGGUGAUGGCUUACCAAGGCUUUGACGGGUAGCCGGCCUGAGAGGGGGGUCGGUCACAUUGGGACUGAGAUACGGCCCAGACUCCUGCGGGAGGCAGCAGUGGGGGAAAUUGCACAAUGGGCGAAAGCCUGAUGCAGCGACGCCGCGUGGGGGAUGAAGGCCUUCGGGGUGUAAACUUCUUUUGCUCUGAACAAGGCAUGCCAGUGGGUGUGUUGAGUGUAGGGGUUGAUUAGCGCCGGCUAACUACGUG
rnacentral:rRNA from 1 species